UCCAGCUCGUCGCUGGCAGUCUCCGCAGAGUGCUCAGCAUCCUUUCGGACCUGGUCGCAACAGCGGACGAUGAUUGCGCUCGUUUUGGCACUUAAGCCAACACCUCACGGCACGAGCUGACGACAGCCAUGCAGCACCUGUGCAAGCUCUCGACUGGUUACGAGUCGUCCCCCUUUCAGGUUCCUACUUCUUGCAUGUCAAGCCUAGGUAAGGUUCUUCGCGUAGCAUCGAAUUGAACCACAUGUUCCACCGCUUGUGCUGGCCCCCGUCAAUUCCUUUGAGUUUCAGCCUUGCGGCCGUACUCCCCAGGUGGGUGACUUAUCGCUUUCGCUAAGCCGCGUACUGUAUAUCGCACACAGCGAGUAAUCAACGUUUACAGUGUGGACUAC
rnacentral:misc_RNA from 1 species